GACGAACGCUGGCGGCGUGCUUAACACAUGCAAGUCGAACGGAAAGGCCCUGCUUUUGUGGGGUGCUCGAGUGGCGAACGGGUGAGUAACACGUGAGUAACCUGCCCUUGACUUUGGGAUAACUUCAGGAAACUGGGGCUAAUACCGGAUAGGAGCUCCUGCUGCAUGGUGGGGGUUGGAAAGUUUCGGCGGUUGGGGAUGGACUCGCGGCUUAUCAGCUUGUUGGUGGGGUAGUGGCUUACCAAGGCUUUGACGGGUAGCCGGCCUGAGAGGGUGACCGGGCACAUGGGGACUGAGAUACGGCCCAGACUCCUACGGGAGGCAGCGGUGGGGAAUAUUGCACAAUGGGCGGAAGCCUGAUGCAGCAACGCCGCGUGCGGGAUGACGGCCUUCGGGUUGUAAACCGCUUUCGCCUGUGACGAAGCGUGAGUGACGGUAAUGGGUAAAGAAGCACCGGCUAACUACGUG
rnacentral:rRNA from 1 species